GCCGUUCCGCAAUUUCCUUCGGGAAUUGGUCAUUCAUGCCAAUUUUUGUGCCAGCAAGUCUUUUACCCAGACUUUUAACCAUUAUUUUAUCUUUAAAGUAAGAAAAUAUGGCAAAUAUUGGGCGUUCAUACCUCUGCCCUCUGUCCGAAGCAGUGUACACGUUCAGGUUGGAUUUCAUCAAGAGCUUUGCGUGGAAUCUGAAGAGCUGUAAGGAGGAACUCUCGAACUACAGAUUCAGGAACUUCUUCUUUCUCUUGGAUACCUGUUUUUCAUCACUCAUCUCAAGGCUUGCCUUCAACUCUUUCAUAUCUUUACUGACUAGUUCAAGUAUACCCAGUUUGUCAUUUAUUGAUUUUAACAGAUCGGUUUCGACCUUUAUCAUGGUGGUGAAAAUAUAAAUUUGUCUGUCUGUAGAAGUGUCACGCUUUCAUUUUGAAAUAGGUUCCCCUGUUUACUCUCUGUCAUGUUUGGGUGUUGCUUGUUUUUGUAAUAUUUCUUGAUACAUUUCUCUAGUAUUAAGAUUUGUUUUGUGGUGUGAUCCAGAUUGACGAUUACCACCCGCCAGAUUGUGUAGUGCUAAAAUGUAGUCUAAUUUUGAAUAUGUUUUUAUCUUGAGGUGCUCUACAUAACUACAUUCAGUCUGCCAUCUUCCCUCAGUCCCCCAUCUCCCACAAUAACUUGACCAAAUUCUAAAUAGCAAUCAUUCUCUUUCAUUAUUAGGUAUUUUAAACAAAACAUUUGACAAGGAGAACAACCCGGUAGAUGGACACAGCUUGGAAAAGUGCAAAGAAGUAUUUGAAGAGCUGGCUCAUUUUGGACUUCUAAUCCCUUUUAAACAUUAAGUGUUUCAGCCACAGCCUUCUGGGUAGUACAAUUGGAUUGGUAUAUUUCAUCCGCAUUUGGUAGAUGCCAACUAGUCUGUGAUUAACGGGGGUUGAGCUAGAGUGGUGUUUGUGCUUACAACAACGGAUUCUGAAGGGGCCCGGGGCCAGGUAUUUUUACACAAACGUCAAAUGUGGUUUGAACUACAAAGUAUUAAAAGCUAUCUAUGUAAAGACAGCCGAGACUCUCAGAAACGUGAACAUGGGUUGGUCUAUUUCUUCUGCAUCGAUAGAUACCAACUAUCAAUCCAUGUUUUGCUCUGUGAUGCUCACAAGAGUUGUAGAAGGUAAGGGGUUCUUCUACAUAGAAGAUCAUAGCAUAUCCAAGGACAAGUGUAUAUAAUACUGUAAUAAGCUCCACACAGUUGUCACUGACUAGUUGGAUAUUAUUUUCCCACUGAUCAAACCAUUUAUGUACUUGCAGCAUUCAUAUAAAUUACUUUUUAUCAGAUUUUUGCUUUGACAGACCUUUUUUUUUAAUUGACAUUGUUUUGUGCUUGUUCUUGUAGCCCUGGUUGUCCUGAAAAUAAAAUGGUGAAACCUUUCAUUGUAAGGCUAAAUUUAAGGGCUGGACAUAUAUGAAACUCAGAUAAAUGGAAAGCCGAUUUUUGCUGGGGUCUCGGGAAUGAUAGGGUUAACCCUG
rnacentral:lncRNA from 13 species